rnacentral:lncRNA from 1 species
UGGGAAUGCAAUGGAGAGAAUUACUUGAGAAAGUUGGGAAUUAUUUUGCAUCUGAGUGAGCUCUCCUCACUGUGCUGCACUUCACAUUAUCCGUUUCCUGGGGAAUGUGGAUGGAAGCUUACAAAGCACAGCAGGAGAAAGUGUUUUACUUUGACGCAACUGAAAGUGCAUAAAGCGGAUUUGAAGCUGCAGAUUUAAGUGUCUUGAGUGAAGACUGCCAUAUUCCAGCCUAUGGAGAAGUGCACAUAAGAACAGCAUAAAUAUGGCUUUUAAGGGCGAGGAUCACUUAGAUUCCCUUUCCUUACCAG